CCCCUCCUCUCACCAAAAUCUGGAAGUUUCCCAGAGACACUGAUUUGGAUGAGAGCAAGCAAUCUGGGCAGGAUUUUCUCUGGUCUUGCUAGCAGGCCCACUGAUUUGGCAGAUGGAAAGAAGGAAGCUUCAUUGGGCAAUCUCUAAAACACAAGUUCACAUUUUCUCAAGAUAUAUUCACUGAACGAGCAGGACCAGGAGAUCAUUAUAUACUUCAACAACAAUACUAUAUGAUGAUCAAUUCUGAUGGACCUGGCCAUCCUCAGCAAUGAGAUUAACCAAAUCAUUUCCAAUGGAGCAGUAAUGAACUGAACCAGCUACGCCCAGUGAAAGAACUCUGGGAGAUGACUAAGAACCAUUACAUUGAAUUCCCAAUCCCUGUAUUUUUGCCCACCUGCAUUUUGGAUUUCCUUCACAGGCUAAUUGUAC
rnacentral:lncRNA from 1 species